UCUGACGUUUAUCCCUCCUUGCUCAUCUUAAUGUUUGCUCUUAUAUGACAUCAUCACAGCUAUGCAGCCAUCCAGAGUUGGAUUUGAUUGUCUGCCCAUGAUGUACAACCUAAUUCACUGAAAAAGGACAUCAGUCAUUUUUAUUACGUUUGAAUUCUGCUGGAAGGUCUCUUCCAGACUUGAGCCCCUUUAAGAAAAAUCUGGCAAGUUGAAUUGAUUCCAUUGAAGAACAAGAACAGCAACAGUAGAGCUUUUGAAGUAUCCAGAUUGAAGACUCCAACAAUCUUACACGGGCAAGAGAUGGCACUCUCUUUUCAUAAUUGGUAUCUUAGGAAGAAAUAGACCACUUGAAGAACCAUCUGACAGAAGAAUCCCGAUGAGUAUUCUCACCUCCUUUAAUAAUGAUGAUGAUAAGGAUUAGGAAUCCUCUAACACAAGAUCACUCUACAAAAUCUGAGCAGUUCUACAGGACUCUUGGAGAAAGUCUUCAUACAAAACAUUUUUCCUUUAUUUUUGUCCAAAGUUUUAUUGUAUCUUGUAUCAAGUGUUAUCCUUUGUUCCUUGCAAUUUCACAAGCUUUGUUUUUUGUACUUUGCUUGGCUAUAAAAGCUUGACUAUUUGCUUUAAUCUACUGCAGUGACC